AACGAACGCUGGCGGCAGGCCUAACACAUGCAAGUCGAACGCUCGUAGCAAUACGGGAGUGGCAGACGGGUGAGUAACACGUGGGAACCUUCCCUAUGGUUCGGAAUAGCUCAGGGAAACUUGGGGUAAUACCGGAUAAGCCCUUCGGGGAAGGAUUCAUCGCCCCUAGACGGGCCCGCGUCGGAUUAGGUAGUUGGUGGGGUAACGGCCUACCAAGCCUACGACCCGUAGCUGAUCUGGGAGGAUGAUCAGCCACACUGGACUGAGACACGGCCCAGACUCCUACGGAGGCAGCAGUGGGGAAUCUUGGACAAUGGGCGCAAGCCUGAUCCAGCCAUGCCGCGUGAGUAGAAGAAGGCCUUAGGGUUGUAAAG
rnacentral:rRNA from 1 species